ACACUCCUGCGGGAGGCAGCAGUGGGGAAUAUUGGACAAUGGGCGCAAGCCUGAUCCAGCCAUGCCGCGUGAGUGAUGAAGGCCCUAGGGUUGUAAAGCUCUUUCACCGGUGAAGAUAAUGACGGUAACCGGAGAAGAAGCCCCGGCUAACUUCGUGCCAGCAGCCGCGGUAAUCCGAAGGGGGCUAGCGUUGUUCGGAUUUACUGGGCGUAAAGCGCACGUAGGCGGACUAUUAAGUCAGGGGUGAAAUCCCGGGGCUCAACCCCGGAACUGCCUUUGAUACUGGUAGUCUUGAGUUCGAGAGAGGUGAGUUGAAUUCCGAGUGUAGAGGUUAAAUUCGUAGAUAUUCGGAGGAACACCAGUGGCGAAGGCGGCUCACUGGCUCGAUACUGACGCUGAGGUGCGAAAGCGUGGGGAGCAAACAGGAUUAGAAACCCGAGUAGUCCCAUGAU
rnacentral:rRNA from 1 species